AUAAAUCCAGUUUCCUCCUGAACAGCGCCACCAUUCUGGAAACAACAACCAGAGAACACGGUCCAGGCUAUCUUAGCUACACGAACGUUGAUUGGUUGUUCUGUCGGGGGAUAUCCUGCUCCUAGAGUCACCUGGAAAAUAAAAAAUCCUUCAGGCUCCUUCACUCCAGUCUCCAGGAGCUACAAGAUGAAAGUGUUGGACAACGGAACACUGGUGAUUAAUGACGUUAAGGAGACAGAUUCAGGAACGUACCUGUGUCAGGCUGAUAACGGAGUGGGGGAAACGUUGGAGAAAGCUGUCCGUUUGUCUGUCCACGUGGCUCCAUCUAUUGUGAAACAUAGCGAAAUUGUUACUGUGCAGCGUGGAUACACAAAGAGUGUACGAUGUAUUGUAAGAGGAGAGCGA